GUGAGUCAUCGAAUCUUUGAACGCACAUUGCGCCCGCCAGUAUUCUGGCGGGCAUGCCUGUCCGAGCGUCAUUUCAACCAUCAAGCCCCAGGCUUGUGUUGGGGACCUGCGUCCGACGCAGGCCCUGAAAACCAGUGGCGGGCUCGCUGUCCACACCGAGCGUAGUAACUAACCUCGCUACGGGAGCGGCGCGGGCGCCUGCCGUAAAACCCCCAAUUUUCACAAGGUUGACCUCGGAUCAGGUAGGAAUACCCGCUGAACUUAAGCAUAUCAAUAAGCGGAGGA
rnacentral:misc_RNA from 1 species